UACGUAGGGUGCGAGCGUUGUCCGGAAUUAUUGGGCGUAAAGAGCUCGUAGGCGGUCUGUCGCGUCGGUCGUGAAAACUUGGGGCUUAACCCUGAGCUUGCGGUCGAUACGGGCAUGACUGGAGUUCGGCAGGGGAGACUGGAAUUCCUGGGUGUAGCGGUGAAAUGCGCAGAUAUCAGGAGGAACACCGGUGGCGAAGGCGGGUCUCUGGGCCGAUACUGACGCUGAGGAGCGAAAGCGUGGGGAGCGAACAGGA
rnacentral:rRNA from 1 species